CGAAUAUAAGAGACGUCUUUUAGCUUUUAACUAAAAAAACUAAAAAAUGUCUCCUAAAUAAGAGAUAUAAAAUAUAUCUUUUAGUUUUUUUAGUUAAAAGCUAAGAGACGUCUCUUAUAUUCG
rfam:Brassica napus, WGS project CCCW01000000 data, contig: 11470